rnacentral:rRNA from 1 species
GACGGAGGGUGCUAGCGUUGUUCGGAAUUACUGGGCUUAAAGCGCACGUAGGCGGCUUUGCAAGUUAGAGGUGAAAGCCCGGGGCUCAACUCCGGAAUUGCCUUUAAGACUGCAUCGCUAGAAUUGUGGAGAGGUAAGUGGAAUUCCGGGUGUAGAGGUGAAAUUCGUAGAUAUUCGGAAGAACACCAGUGGCGAAGGCGACUUACUGGACGCAUAUUGACGCUGAGGUGCGAAAGCGUGGGGAGCAAACAGG